UAUGUGCAUUGUAAUUUAUGCAUUGUGCAUUUGUGCAUUGUGCAAUUUGUAGAAACAGUAUCGUGUCGAGGUGAAUCGUCGGCCGCAUCUGGAGUUGCAAGGGCGGGAAGAUGUUUGCUCACAUCAACGACAUCUGCUUCCACUUGCUUCCCCCGGCAGUUGAUUCUAAGUUUAUAUUUUUGCAACUAGAUAAAGUUUUAUGGAAGAAUUGACGUUUUUCGGUUUUGUGGGGUUCAGAGUUGCUUCCGAGAUGUUGGCAUGCUCUCUAUUAUGGUGCUUUCUAAUUUUCGCCGAGCAUGGUGUUGACUUCGUAAACACAUGGAGAUUUUGAAGUCAGGUGAUUUUGAUUCGGGAUCGUCGUCCCCUGCGCUCAUGUUUCAAAAAAACUUUCUUCAUCAACAGACUAUCCACUGUGACUAUCCCAGUGUCAAGAUCUCCUCAUAAACAACUUUGUACCGGAACUUCGAAGUUCAUGUCAUCAACAACUAAUACGAGGCCCCCAUGUCGACCGAACUGCAACGUAACACGUGCUGAGAAGGGAUUAACAGACCCUCAGAAAAUAAAGGUUGGCAAGGUCACCAUCGACCAGCUCAAGACGAUCGCUCAAGAGAAGUUGCAUACUUGAAGUGCACAACAAUCGAGUCUGCCAUGAGAAUCGUGGCCGGAACAGCAGCCAACUUGGGAAUCGAAGUCGACCCACCUCUGCUGGAGAAGAAGAAGAAAGUUAUGCGAGCUCUGCAGGCCAGAGCAGCGCUGCGGCAGCGGGAGGUAGGAAGUUCGAGCGACAAUCAAGCAAGAUCUCAACAUCGGCACCACCCUCCCAGCUCCAACGAAGACUAAUUGGUGGAUGGGGUAAGAUCGCAGGAGAUGGCGAAAUCCGGAGAUUUAAAUGCGACCACGUAGCAGGUGGAAGAAUUACAACACUUGAUUCCUCCACACACACACUACACCAGCAUGCACAUGCAUUUUUCUCACUGAAAUGUUUUUUUUCUGUAAAAAGUAAAAUUUUCUCCUGUCCUGGCCCUUCAAUCUUCACAAGUGCCCAUAGUUUGCUUCUUUGCAGACAUGUGUUAUCAAUGAGUAGUGGAGCACCACAUUAUUUACUGUAUGAAUCAAAUUAUCAAUCUUAUUGUGCUGGAUGGAUCAGAACUUUCUUACCUGACAUUGAACUUAUUGGUUUGAAAUGUGUGGAUUUGGUGUUCAACUUCUAUUGAAAUAGAAAGACAGCAAUCCUUUUAUGUAAGAAUUAUUUGUA